CAUAGAUACAGUGUUGACAAAUAAAUCCAAGGGGUAAACAGGUUACCUGUAAUCAGUGUUGGAAAACGAACUGCCUUACAUCUACACUGAAGAACAGGUGACAGAGCAAAGAAAACAUGCCAGCGAUUAAAGUUGUAUCGGCGAUGUGCUUGGUGUCGUUUAUGAUGCUAUUUGGGGAAUGCAAUGGUGCACAAUGCUGCACAAGUUACACUGGCAGGUUUGGACUCCAACAUUCCGCCAAGUUGUGUAGUACAUACUGCUGUACCGAUUUGACCGUCAGCACGUACAAAACGUGUUUUCGGAUGCAGCAAGAAUGGUUCCCUCAUCGGAAAGGACCGAAGAUAGCUGUAGAACAUGGCUCGAAGAUCACAUAUACGUUCCGGUAGUGUCAAGUGCCGUCCCCGUGUUAAUCAUUGCCUGCAUUUGCUGGUUCUGUUGCUGCAAAUAAUGCCGUUCAUAAAAACAUACCUGUCGCUCAAACUCCAAGCUAGGUGGUGAUCUUACUCGAAUGUUCCUCAUGUAUAUCAUCAUACGAGAAAACAACGACAACAGAAUAAGUUCUACAUAAUAUGAAGAUAAAAUUUACCAUCUUUAAGGCUUGUUACCAAAUAACUUUAUCUUAAUAAAUACUAUUUACUGCAAUGAUUGUGUACGUUUUGAAUGUUUUACCAACUUUGUUAUACAUUUAUUCAUUCAAACCAUCAAAUUGUUUCUUGUGCAAUAGAUGACAUUGGUUAUAUCUUAAUUUGAUUGCAAUUUGGUUUUGUUAACGUUUUGACGUGCUUUGAUUAUCUCUUUCUAGAAAUGUUUGUAUAUGUUUAUCUGAUCGCCCUAAAGUCAGAAAUGUGUGUGCUUUUAAAUGUUGAAAUUAUUUUAGGCUAUUCUAAAUAC